rnacentral:tRNA from 1 species
GGUUGUGGCUCAGUGGUAGAGUACUUGCCUAGCAUGUGUGAAGCACUGGGUUCAAUCCUCAGCACCA